UACGUAGGCAGCAAGCGUUGUUCGGAGUUACUGGGCGUAAAGAGUACGUAGGCGGUUUGCUAAGUCUGGUGUGAAAUCUCCUGGCUUAACUGGGAGGGUGCGCUAGAUACUGGCAGGCUUGAGUAUGGGAGAGGAGAGUGGAAUUCCUGGUGUAGCGGUGAAAUGCGUAGAUAUCAGGAGGAACACCGGUGGCGAAGGCGGCAUUCUGGACCGACAUUGACGCUGAGGAGCGAAAGCCAGGGGAGCAAACGGG
rnacentral:rRNA from 1 species